rnacentral:rRNA from 1 species
UAGGGAAUCUUCGGCAAUGGGGGCAACCCUGACCGAGCAACGCCGCGUGAGUGAAGAAGGUUUUCGGAUCGUAAAGCUCUGUUGUAAGAGAAGAACGAGUGUGAGAGUGGAAAGUUCACGCUGUGACGGUAUCUUACCAGAAAGGGACGGCUAACUACGUGCCAGCAGCCGCGGUAAUACGUAGGUCCCGAGCGUUAUCCGGAUUUAUUGGGCGUAAAGCGAGCGCAGGCGGUUAGAUAAGUCUGAAGUUAAAGGCUGUGGCUUAACCAUAGUACGCUUUGGAAACUGUUUAACUUGAGUGCAAGAGGGGAGAGUGGAAUUCCAUGUGUAGCGGUGAAAUGCGUAGAUAUAUGGAGGAACACCGGUGGCGAAAGCGGCUCUCUGGCUUGUAACUGACGCUGAGGCUCGAAAGCGUGGGGAGCAAACAGG